rnacentral:rRNA from 1 species
UUCCUACGGGAGGCAGCAGUAAGGAGUAUUGGUCAAUGGGGGCAACCCUGAACCAGCCAUGCCGCGUGCAGGACGACUGCCCUAUGGGUUGUAAACUGCUUUUGCCGGGGAAUAAACCCCACUACGUGUAGUGGGCUGAACGUACCCGGAGAAUAAGGAUCGGCUAACUCCGUGCCAGCAGCCGCGGUAAUACGGAGGAUCCGAGCGUUAUCCGGAUUUAUUGGGUUUAAAGGGUGCGUAGGCGGCACUUUAAGUCAGGGGUGAAAGACGGCAGCUCAACUGUCGCAGUGCCCUUGAUACUGAAGUGCUUGAAUGCGGUUGAAGACGGCGGAAUGAGACAAGUAGCGGUGAAAUGCAUAGAUAUGUCUCAGAACACCGAUUGCGAAGGCAGCUGUCUAAGCCGUUAUUGACGCUGAUGCACGAAAGCGUGGGGAUCGAACAGGAUUAGAUACCCUGGUAGUCCACGCCCCAAACGAUGAUAACUCGAUGUUUGCGAUAUACCGUAAGCGUCCAAGCGAAAGCGUUAAGUUAUCCACCUGGGGAGUACGCCCGCAAGGGUGAAACUCAAAUGAAUUGACGGAA